AAUCAACGCUGGCGGCGUGCCUCAGACAUGCAAGUCGAACGAUUAAAGCUCUCUUCGGAGAGUGUAUAGAGUGGCGCACGGGUGAGUAACACGUAAGUAAUCUACCCUCGAGUGGGGAAUAACAACCGGAAACGGUUGCUAAUACCGCAUAAUGCAGCGGCACCGCAAGGUGACAGUUGUUAAAGAUUUAUCGCUUGAGGAGGAGCUUGCGGCAGAUUAGCUAGUUGGUAGGGUAACGGCUUACCAAGGCUACGAUCUGUAACCGGUCUAAGAGGACGGUCGGUCACACUGACAUUGAAUAACGGGUCAGGCUCCUACGGGAGGCAGCAGUCGGGAAUUUUGGGCAAUGGGCGAAAGCCUGACCCAGCAACGCCGCGUGAAGGAUGAAGUAUUUCGGUAUGUAAACUUCGAAAGAAUAGGAAGAAUAAAUGACGGUACUAUUUAUAAGGUCCGGCUAACUACGUGCCAGCAGCCGCGGUAA
rnacentral:rRNA from 1 species